rnacentral:rRNA from 1 species
UACGUAGGUGACAAGCGUUGUCCGGAUUUACUGGGCGUAAAGAGCGCGCAGGCGGUCGUUCAAGUCGAGUGUGAAAGCCCCCGGCUCAACUGGGGAGGGUCACUCGAUACUGAUCGACUUGAAGGCAGGAGAGGGAAGCGGAAUUCCCGGUGUAGUGGUGAAAUGCGUAGAUAUCGGGAGGAACACCAGUGGCGCAAGCGGCGGCCUGGGUAUGACCUGACACUGAGCCACGACGGCGUGGGGAGCAAACGGG